AAAACUAGAGUCGUUCCAUUUAGACGUCAGGACAAGUGAAUCGUUGAUCUCGUUUCCACCUAGCACUGGAGCUUUGUACGAAUCGUCGAUGGAGCAAAGAAAAAGACACCAAAAUAGUACUGGGUACCUGUAAGCGUCUCUCGCAUGAAGAUGAACGCAUAUAGGAGGGUGUUUUAGUAUUGUUGCAUUUCUGAGUAAAUCACGAAGAAGAUGAACAGGGUCAGGUCAUCUGGGUGUUUCUGUAUGCG
rnacentral:misc_RNA from 1 species